rnacentral:rRNA from 1 species
GAUGAACGCUGGCGGCGUGCCUAAUACAUGCAAGUCGAGCGAACGGACGAGAAGCUUGCUGUUCUGAUGUUUGCGGCGGAGGGGUGAGUAACACGUGUAUAACCUACCUAUAAGUCUGGGAUAACUUCGGGAAUCCGGAGCUAAUACCGGAUAAUAUUUUGAACCGUAUGGUUCAAAGGUGAAAGACGGUCUUGCGGUCACUUAUAGAUGGAUCCGCGCUGCAUUAGCUAGUUGGUAAGGUAACGGCUUACCAAGGCAACUAUGCAUAGCCGACCGGAGAGAGUGAUAGCCCACCUGGGAACGUGACCACGGUCAAGGGGCCUAAGGGAGGCAGCAGUAGGGAACCUUCCGCAAUGGGCGAAAGCCUGACGGAGCAACGCGGCGUGAGUGAUAAAGGUCUCCGGAUCGUAAAACUCUGUUAUUAGGGAAGAACAUAUGUGUAAGUAACUGUGCACAUCUUGACGGUACCUAAUCAGAAAGCAACGGCUAACUACGUG